CUAAACUUUAAUAUCUGAAUUUGUCACAACUAAAUGCGGGGCAUUUCAAGUUGAUAAAAUCCAUCAAACAUGAUGUCCUCCUCAAGCAAUAGUUAGUGCAAAAUCAUAAAAUUCAAAUGAGGGCAAAUCUUAAAUACAAAUGAGAUGUCACAAAAACACACUCAACCUUGCUGAGUUUCGUACCUGUGCGCCAACUGAAGUUGGGCCAGAAGAAGCAAACAAAGGGAUUUCUCCCAUAGAAAUCAGAUAGUACUCAGAAUGAAAACAUAGAAUAAGGAAUUAAGAAGCACAAUAAUAGUAAUAUAUGAGCUUGUUGCACUGAAAAGCAUUGCUUCCUUUGGGACUGCAGAGGCUGCUUCCAUCUUCAAUUGCCUGAAUCAAUUAUGGUUGACAAAUUAAAGCCUUAUAAGGUUGGUUAGCAGUAAAAACAGGUUAUGAGAAACUAAAGUGAAUGUGUAACAAUGAUGAUUCGGAAGUCCUAUAGAAUUUUAACAAUGAUGCACAAGAAAUUGGUUUUGACCUGCACACUUCACUAGAAAUAUAUAUGGAUAAAAUUUUAUUUUUAUUUAGCAUAGCCAUUAGUCAAACCAACAGGAUGGAUUAAAUUGAACUCAGAGAAUGUGCAUCUUACUCGCAGCCAAGAAAAUGUCGAGAACAAGUAGCACACGGUUUAAAACAAGAUGGAUAAUGAGUCAGUCCUAUCUUUCUUCACUUAAAUAUAUCAGAUUAAGUUUGCCUAGCGUAUUGGUCGUACCUCUCUGACCUAAGUAACAAAUCAUUUAAUCUUUACUUGAACUAAGAACAUGAUAGACAUCCCAAAUAGUGCAAUAAUUAGCAACUCAUGUGACAUGAUCAUGGAUAUCAAUUUAGUAGGAAAUGCUAGCUAGUAUGUGUUGACAAAUUAGUACUCCCUCCGUCCAUUGUACAUGCUAUUCUUUCUUUUUUAGUCCUGUUCUAAAAAGAAUGUUAUCUUACUAUGAUUAAAAAUCAUUUAUUUUUAAAUUUUUCUUUUAGCCUAAUGAAAUGAUUUGCACAACAACCACAUAAAUAUCUAAGAAUUGUUUUGGACAACAAAUAUCUAAGGAUUAUUCAUAAAAAUAUCAAGCAACAUAGCUUAAAUCACCUGCAGUUUAGAGUUGGUGUGUUUGAAUUCGAAAUGAGAAAUAGAGACGAAGUAAUUACUAACCAAUCAAAUGUUGAGUUGGCCCCACAAAACGAAUGGAAACAAGAUUUAUUUGUUCGAUGCCUUCCUUAACCUUAUUUAUCAUAUACUGUAACGGGUUCCUAAUUUACCGAUUUCCCCCAGAAAAAAGAAAAGUAAUAUCGGGUCCUAUCUCAACAGUAAUAAUUAUAUUUUUAUAACAGGCUAUGUUCAGAUGACCUUAGGCACAUAAUUCAUUAAAUACCAACUACUUUUCAUCAAUACAAACACUUGUAGCAAAAAGUUUAAGCAAAUAAGAAACAAGUUAUAUCACAAGGACCUGACCAAAUAUUAAAACACUUCAAUAGCUGGACUCGAGCCAUAGACACUAGAUGCUCAUACUUAAUGAUAUCCAAGGAAAGAGCAAAGGCAAACAACUAUCUGCUUUCAAAUUUAUCCAUUAUUUCAAACUUGAAAUAUGGACUUAAAGUUUUAAAAUCAAAUUCUAAAAGUAUCAAAAUGUUUAUUUAAAAAAUCAAUAAUGUUGCAUUCUUUAACAUUAAGGAAUGUUUUUCAAAUAUCAACCAAUUCAUGUCCGUGCACAUAUUAUUCUUGCAUGUCACUAUAUUAGUAUUACAGUAUUUCUCUAAUUAGCUUAGAUCAUUGUUUAUGAACAACCAGCUAUAUCUACUCUCCGAAGUCCUACCUAUCCAUUAAGCUCCCUUAAUUAUAUAAACAAAAGACACAAAUAUUGAGAUAUUCCAUUCCCUCAUUAAUAAAUAUUUUAUCAUUUAAAAUUAUGUCAAGCAUACAUUAUAAAUGAUUUAUUGGAAUUACACCUUGCCUACUUUUUUUUUCUCUCUAAUAAUUAAGCUAUCUCACCCAAUAAGCAUUCAAUAUUCUACUCUGUAAUGUCCAAAAUCCAGACUUUGAUGCCGUCUGACAAUAAUUAUUUCAUAUGUUUGCUGUGAUGUUGUAAUACUUUAUUUCAUUUCAUAUCACAUUUAUUGUACUUUAGACUGUUCCAACUAAGAAUAGUAGAGUAUCUUUUUAUGGCUAAAAACUCCUUUUAACUUCAAUAUUACCUCUAAUAAAGACAUGCUUUUAUAUACUUGUAUAAAUAUCACUUUUGUCCCAAAAAGAAACUUAUAUAAAUAUCAUAUCACAUCUAAAUCUAGUGUUAAUACCUCAGAUCGUCACUCAACUAUGCACUCUUCUCUCAAAAAGUCAUUCAACUUUUAAUCAAAAGCACUCAUCUAUGCACUUUUUUCUCAGAAAGUCACUUAACUUUAAAUUUUAAUUCAAAAGUCACUCAACUAUCCAUUCUUUCCUCUGAAAGUCGCUCAACUAUCCAUUCUUGCCUCAGAAAGUCACUCAAUCUAUUAAAUUAUUUUUAAUUAAAAUUUGUUGAUAUUAAUUAUUUAUAGAACAAACCAAAAAUUUUAAAAUAAAAUUAAACCAUUUAGUGAUCCACUUACCUAACCCGACCCAUUUAAAAAAUAUGAUAUGAGCUAUUUUAUUUUGUCUUUAAUCCUAAUUCAAGGUUUAAAGAGGGAAUAAUUUAGGAUUAAAGAGAAAAUAAAACGGGUCAUAUCAUAUUUUUUAAAUGGGUCGGGUUAGGUGGGUGGAUCACUAAAUGGUUUAAUUUAUUUUUUAAAAUUUUUGGUUUGUUAUAUGAAUAAUUAAUAUCAACAAAUUUUAAUUAAAAAAUAACUUAAUAGAUUGAGUGACUUUCUGAGGAAAGAGUGGAUAGUUGAGUGACUUUUGAGUUAAAAUUUAAAGUUGAGUGACUUUUUGAGAAAGAAAUGCAUAGUUGAGUGACUUUUGAGUGAAAAUUAAAAAUUGAGUGACUUUCUGAGAAAAAAGUGCAUAGUUGAAUGACCAUCUGAGGUAUUAACUCUCUAAAUGUAGGUUGCUUUUAACUCUUCAAAAAUAUCGAUAAUUGCAUAUCAAAUUCUUCAAAAAUAGUGAAUUUUAAAAAAAUCUGACAUGGUACAACAAAAUUUUAUCAAAGUCCGAAUAACUUAGCUUUAAGUCUAUUGGUAUGUAAUAUUUAUUUUCUUUCCUUUUUUCAGAAAGAAUCAUAAUCUUUGUUUUGCAUCUAUAUCAAAUGCAAUCAAAUACUCGUAUAAUACACAAAGACAGUUCUUGCAGUCUUCUAGAGUUAAUACAAAAAACAAUCCUUAUUGUCUUACCAGCCAGAUAUUAUAAUUUUCUCUGCAUAAGAGCUGCCAUAAAUUUAUCUAACUACAUGCUCUUUCGGUCAAUUUCUAGUUGUUUGCUAUACUGUACUAUAUAAAUCCUUAUUGAUUCAAAAUAUAUUUAUAUCCACUAUUAUCGAUUUAACUAAGAAAAUUAACGGAUAGUUUAUCAAAUAACUUUCACUCUAUCCUUGGUAUUUAUUAACUGUAUUUCUAAAAUAUUGAAUUUAUUAUAUUCAAAUAAUGAUACAGAAAAAUUGUCAGUUUAUUUGUUAUUCCUAAAGGAGUGUGCUAUUUCGAUAUUAGAAAAAAAAAAGGUAGUAUAUAAGGCCUACACGUUCAAGGCUAUGAAUUUGUAAUUAACAAAAUGAGUUAGAAAACUACUGAGUUUGUUUGGAUUGACUUAAAAAAAGUCUCUUUUAAGUAAAAAAUAAGAAAGUCAAACUUAAUUAACUUACAAUGAAAAGUAGGGAGAGAUAUACUAUUAAUUUUCAACUUAUUCAAAGUCAUUUUUUUGAUUUAUUUUAAAUUAUUUCUAUAGUUGUCAAACAUUUGAAAAAAGUAAAAAUAUACUUAAAAAUAGGUUCAAACAAAUUCUAAGUCAAUCCAAACACUCUUUAUAUGUUUACAAGUUUGAAUUUACAAGUUAUGUGUAGCUAGCUGACACCCUACAUUUUGCUUUUCAAUUAAAACAAUGUGAGAUUUGACCAAAAAUUUUAAAAAUGUAUUUUUCACCAUAAAAUAGGAAAAGGAAGGAUUUUCUAUUUUGGCAAAACUUUAAUUUUAAUUUUUCACGUGACAUGUUUAAGACAACAAGAUUAAAGGACAUUUUGAUACAUUUGACACAACUUUAAUUUAGAAUCACAAGAUUAAAAAAUCUUUUUUUUUUCUUAAACUUAGUUCCAAGUUAAACUAAUUUUUUUUUAAACUGCCGGAGUAGUAAAUUUUUUGAAAAUAUUGAGUUAGAUUUAAUGAAUCAAUAUAAGUUAAGGUAGAUUUAAUAUGACUUAGCUAAAAAAAAGGAGAAGACCCAACCCUAGUUAGGAAGAGAAAGAGC
rnacentral:lncRNA from 1 species